GACGAACGCUGGCGGCGUGCUUAACACAUGCAAGUCGAACGGAAAGGCCCUGCUUUUGUGGGGUGCUCGAGUGGCGAACGGGUGAGUAACACGUGAGUAACCUGCCCUUGACUUUGGGAUAACUUCAGGAAACUGGGGCUAAUACCGGAUAGGAGCUCCUGCUGCAUGGGGGGGGUUGGAAAGUUUCGGCGGUUGGGGAUGGACUCGCGGCUUAUCAGCUUGUUGGUGGGGUAGUGGCUUACCAAGGCUUUGACGGGUAGCCGGCCUGAGAGGGUGACCGGCCACAUUGGGACUGAGAUACGGCCCAGACUCCUACGGGAGGCAGCAGUGGGGAAUAUUGCACAAUGGGCGGAAGCCUGAUGCAGCAACGCCGCGUGCGGGAUGACGGCCUUCGGGUUGUAAACCGCUUUCGCCUGUAACGAAGCGUGAGUGACGGUAAUGGGUAAAGAAGCACCGGCUAACUACGUG
rnacentral:rRNA from 1 species